GGAAGCUGUUUCCCUGUGUUCCUAAGUCCCAGGCUGCGAGCACCACUCGCCUCCCUCGCGGUGUCUGGACAGCGGGAUGUCUUCCAGACUGGACUCCCUACCUCCCCGGCCCAAAGCUCCCAGGCCCAAAGCUCCCAUGCCUGAGCUCCUCAGCACUUGGAGAAGAGGUGGCAGCGGGGCAAACUGUCUCCAGACCACCACUGUAGGGAGAAGCAACCCGAUGCCAUGACACUGGCGGAGUGGAGAAAACAUUCCCACCACUGAGGAUUUUGCUAUGAGGGUUAUCAUGAUUAUGAUAUGACUAGCUACGAUUUACUGAGUUCCUUUAUGUUAGGCAUUGUAUUAUACCAUUUCCUCCUACGACCUGCUGGCACAGCUCAUCUUUCAGAAUUUUCCUGCUAUUUCUGUUUUCUAUUUUAUUGGCAAUGCGUUUCUUUAUAACUGAGUGAAGAAUGUGGCAAGGCUGGGGAAAAUGUUUCUGCCUGUCUCUUUUUGCUCUCUCUCCCCCUCUGAACAGAAAUAGUAUCGUGGCAGUGCCUCUCUUUGUCUGUUAGGAAAAAAAAAAAAGCCAGGAAAAGGAAAUAACAGUGGGUGAUCUACUUUCCGAACAGCGUGAGAAAGAUCCAGAGAAUGUUAGUUUUGCACUGAAGCCGCUUCAACUUCUACUUUUCCAAUAUUACAGGAAGUUUCCUAGCAUUGAGAGGAAAAAGAAACAGUGGCCAGAUACUUUCUCCUAAAAAUAUACAGGAAGGACAAUGUGGAGGCCAAGACUAAUCUGGGUGAUGAGCUCCAGGCCUGCCUCAAAACAGGAGCUGAUGGGAG
rnacentral:lncRNA from 1 species